CUUUGCUGUGGGCAUUGGAGUCUGAAAAAACUCACAGAUUGGGUGUUGUCUAUCAGCUUCUUCUCUUGAUAUCCCACGAGUUUGGAGUUAAAUAACAGCACAACAUUU